rnacentral:rRNA from 1 species
GACGAACGCUGGCGGCGUGCUUAACACAUGCAAGUCGAACGGUGACCUCGGAGCUUGCUCCGGGCGAUCAGUGGCGAACGGGUGAGUAACACGUGAGUAACCUGCCCCUGGCUCUGGGAUAACCCCGGGAAACCGAGGCUAAUACCCGGAUACGACACAGACAGGCAUCUGUACUGUGUGGAAAGUUUUUCGGCUAGGGAUGGACUCGCGGCCUAUCAGCUUGUUGGUGAGGUAACGGCCCACCAAGGCGACGACGGGUAGCCGGCCUGAGAGGGCGACCGGCCACACUGGGACUGAGACACGGCCCAGACUCCUACGGGAGGCAGCAGUGGGGAAUAUUGCGCAAUGGGCGAAAGCCUGACGCAGCGACGCCGCGUGAGGGAUGAAGGCCUUCGGGUUGUAAACCUCUUCAGCAGGGAAGAAGCGAAAG